GACGAACGCUGGCGGCGUGCUUAACACAUGCAAGUCGAACGGAAAGGCCCUGCUUUUGUGGGGUGCUCGAGUGGCGAACGGGUGAGUAACACGUGAGUAACCUGCCCUUGACUUUGGGAUAACUUCAGGAAACUGGGGCUAAUACCGGAUAGGAGCUCCUGCUGCAUGGUGGGGGUUGGAAAGUUUCGGCGGUUGGGGAUGGACUCGCGGCUUAUCAGCUUGUUGGUGGGGUAGUGGCUUACCAAGGCUUUGACGGGUAGCCGGCCUGAGAGGGUGACCGGCCACAUAGGGACUGAGAUACGGCCCAGACUCCUCCGGGAGGCAGAAGUGGGGAAUAUUGCACAAUGGGCGGAAGCCUGAUGCAGAAACGCCGCGUGCGGGAGGACGGCCUUCGGGUUGUAAACCGCUUUCGCCUGUGACGAAGCGUGAGUGACGGGAAUGGGUAAAGAAGCACAGGCUAACUACGUG
rnacentral:rRNA from 1 species